rnacentral:rRNA from 2 species
UACGAAGGGGGCUAGCGUUGUUCGGAUUUACUGGGCGUAAAGCGCGUGUAGGCGGGUCGUUAAGUUGGGGGUGAAAUCCCGAGGCUCAACCUCGGAACUGCCUUCAAAACUGGCGGCCUGGAGCAAAGAAGAGGCGAGUGGAAUUCCGAGUGUAGAGGUGAAAUUCGUAGAUAUUCGGAGGAACACCAGUGGCGAAGGCGACUCGCUGGUCUUUUGCUGACGCUGAGACGCGAAAGCGUGGGGAGCAAACAGG